AUACGAAUGGAGCAAGCGUUGUUCGGAAUCACUGGGCGUAAAGCGUACGUAGGCGGAUUUUUAAGUCAGAAGUGAAAGCCCAGGGCUCAACCCUGGAACUGCUUUUGAAACUGGAAGUCUAGAGUCCCGGGGAGGUUAGGGGAAUUCCGAGUGUAGCAGUGAAAUGCGCAGAUAUUCGGAGGAACACCAGUGGCGUAGGCGCCUAACUGGACGGGAACUGACGCUGAGGUACGAAAGCGUGGGGAGCAAACGGGAUUAGAAACCCUAGUAGUCC
rnacentral:rRNA from 1 species